rnacentral:rRNA from 1 species
UGGCGAACGGGUGAGUAACACGUGGGCAAACCUGCCCAAAAGAGGGGGAUAACACUUGGAAACAGGUGCUAAUACCGCAUAACCAUAGUUACCGCAUGGUAACUAUGUAAAAGGUGGCUAUGCUACCGCUUUUGGAUGGGCCCGCGGCGCAUUAGCUAGUUGGUGGGGUAAAGGCUUACCAAGGCAAUGAUGCGUAGCCGAACUGAGAGGUUGAUCGGCCACAUUGGGACUGAGACACGGCCCAAACUCCUACGGAAGGCAGCAG